rnacentral:lncRNA from 1 species
CAACUCUCUGGAGGACAAAAACAACGCGUUGCUAUAGCCCGCGCAAUAUUAAAAAACCCAGCGGUUUUGUUACUAGACGAAGCUACAAGUGCAUUAGAUAGUCAAUCAGAGAAAGUAGUACAAGAUGCAUUGGAGAGAAUGAUGGUGGGGAGGACUAAUGUGGUGGUGGCCCACCGUUUGAGUACCAUACAAAGUUGCAACACGAUCGCGGUUUUGGAGAAAGGGAAGGUGGUCGAGAAAGGUAAUCAUAGUUCGUUGUUAGCGAAAGGGCCGACCGGAGCUUACUACUCGUUAGUUAGUCUUCAAAAGCCUAAUUCUGCUCAACAUUAUGAUUAACUAAAACUUGGUGGAAAAUUGGAGGGGUUUUACAUAGAAGAUUGCAAGUGUUGAAGUGUAAAACGAUUUUUACACAUUAUAUGUAUGCAUCUGAGGAUGAUGGUAUAUAGGUUUUGUUCAGCAUAUCAUUUUCUAACAGGAAACUGAUUCUGAAAUAGUUGAUAUAUACGAUAUAAUUGUAACCAGUAAGUACAUUAAAUAAUCAAAGUUAUAUAGCGUACACAAGAUGUUUUCGAAAGAAAUUAAAUCUGUUAAAGAAAUUGGAAUUUGUUAAACAUUUUGGUGUGGACGGGUGUUUCAUAAAACAUGAUAUAAUUUUAACAAUAAAUAACGGUUAUCUUUGUAUUUUUAUAAUUUCUCCAGAGUGUAACGAUUUUAUCUUUCGACAUAUGUAAAAGAAGGACCAAAACACUCACUUAUGUUUAUGUUUAUUAUUUUAUUGUUAUUGUAUAUGUGGUUGUUAUGAUACUCUGCAGCCAUAACCAUUAGCGAAGUUUGUUAGAGACAAAACCCAAAAUGGUAUUUGUAAACAAGUUAUAUUCCAUAUUGCAUGGUUUUAGUUUGUAAGAUUGUUAAGUUAGAAGGGAUUUCCCAUAGAUCUUCAAUCUUUGUUCUAUUUGUGAUCUUCAAUCUUUGUUCUAUUUGUGACUAUAUUUUGGGUGGUUAAGCAAAAUCCUCUGCUUGUUGUAACACUUGUAAUUUUAUAAGUUAAUAAUGUUUGGAAAAUAUUAGUAGUUGAUAUGUGUUUACAUGUUACAUAUGGUAUGUUGGUGAACUUGAUAAGACUUUAACAUGUACAAAGUACAAUGCUCAAUUAGAAAGAAUAAAGUUAGACCUUAUGUGAUGUUUAGAAUGAAGGUAUGAGUCUAUUAACAUCUAUCAUUAUGUAGACUUAAAAAGUUUUAUAAAGCAAUUCACAUGACAUGCUAUAUUGAUUUGAGGGAUGUACCAGAUAUUUUUUCUAAAAUGUUUCGUGUUUUGGUACUUUAAGGACAAUACAGAGGACAUGUUAUGAAACUUAGAGGUGUUACUAUGUUAGCAUAUGCAAAUUACAAGUUUUGAUUCGACAAUACCCGCAAGUUGAUAAAGGUGAAAACUGGAUCAAUGAGUUGCCAAUUAAAGACGCAUAAUAUGAUAUAAUAUUGAACGGUUAAACUCUCACUAUAUUUUGAUAUAGUGACAUGGACAUAAUGCGUAGAUAACUAGAUGGCAUAAUGAAUUUUUUAAGUUUAUUAUAAGACAAAAUUUCAAAAAUUGGUCCCAUGACUACCGAAAAGUGGCAAGGUGAUGAAAUCUUUCAAAAACGUGUCAAAUGUUGUCCUGUGGUUUCGGAAAGUUGUAACUUUGUUAUUUUAACAUUGCUUUAGUGAAGUUGGAUUAAAUAUACGUUAAACGACAAAUUUACCCCUUUUAUAAAAGUCAUCACACCCUCGCCCCUUGCCAUUUUUCUAUCACAUAAGGAUAAUUUUUAAAAUUUUGUCACAAAUGAAGUAUAAUAUAAAUUUAUAAAUGAAUAAUAACAAGCUUAGUUAUUAAUAAAUUAAUAUAAAUAAACUAAAAAAGCAGAUAAAAAAUACAUUAACUAAAAUUACAUCACAUAUUACAUAAAUCAAUAACUAUAAUUUAUAAUUUUUGGUAUUAGACAAAAUUUCACAAAUAGUCUUUAGACUCAAGGGAGUGGUGCGGUUUCUAUCGCACUCCUUACCACAUAGGCAGGGGAACACCCCCCCCCCCCCCCCCCCNNNNNNNNNNNNNNNNNNNNNNNNNNNNNNNNNNNNNNCAUGCGGUUUCGAGUGCAGUUAGGCCGCACCUCACCUUUUUUUGGCCGCAAAUUUUGAUUGGCUGGUGGUGUUAAUAACCGUUGAACGGUCAAAUAUGUUAACAUUUAUUUAUUUUUUUUCCUUUUCUUUCCUAUAAUUAUACCAUAUACUUCAUUGUUUUUCAAACCAAAACCAAACUUUUACAUUUCUCUAUUGCUUUAUCUCUUAAAAUUAAUAGAAAAUGUCAUCCUCUUCAUCUUUUAAAGAAUUUCAAUUUAUUUUUUAUGCUGCUAUUGCUUGUGCUCAAAUGACGGAACAGACAUAUGAUACUUUAUGUAAUAACGCAGCCGAAAGUUCUCAAUGGAGAACACGAAGACAUAUUUGUAGAAAUCGUGAAAAAGCCAACCAACGUUUGACACAAGACUACUUUCAAGAGAAUGCCACUUAUCAAGGGUACUAUUUUUGUAGGUGCUUCAGAAUGUUCAAACGUUUAUACGAACGUAUAGUUGAAGAUGUAACAAGGGAGUGUAGUUUUUUUCAACAAUGUUACGAUACUAGAGGUACACCCGGUUUCACUCCCUUACAAAAAUAUAUGGCCGCACUUCGUCAGUUGGCAUAUGGCAUUAUGCCUGAUGCGUUGGACGAGAGUUUUAGGAUGUCUGCUACGACUGCACGAGAUAGUCUUCACUAUUUUUGCAAAACUGUGAUUCAGUUUUAUGGUCCAAAAUAUUUAUGUAAGCCUACAAGUAAUGACAUCUUACAAUUGCAAGCUCAUCAUGCUAGUGUGCAUGGGUUUCCUUGAAUGUUAGGAAGUUUAGAUUGUUUGUAUUGGACAUGGGUAAAUUGCCCUACCUCACACCAUGGACAAUUUACCCGAGGUGAUCAUGGUCACCUAACGGUCAUACUUGAAGCAGUUGCAUCAUAAGAUCUGUGGAUUUGACAUGCUUUUUUUGGUUCUCCCGGUUCGAGUAACAACAUCAACGUUCUUAAUCGUUCACCUAUAUUUAACAACAUAUAUGAUGGAUCUGCACCAGAUUCUUCUUUUAAAGUGCAUGAAACGCCAUAUAAAUAUGGUUAUUAUAUAGUUGAUAGGAUCUAUCAUGAGUGUGUUGUGUUUGUUAAAUCGUUUAUGUGUUCACAUGGUUCUAGACGAAAAGAAUUCAAGAGAGCUCAAAAAAGACUUAGGAAGGAUAUCGAGCGUACUUUUGGAGCUUUUAAGAAAAGUUGGUUCAUAUUGAAAAAACCAACAAUUUAUUUCGGCAAGGAAAAACUUCAAAAAAUCAUGUAUACAUGUCUCAUAUUGCAUAACAUGAUUAUUGAAGACGAAGGAAGAGCGAUAUGUGCGUUUGACGAGGAAGAAACUAUACCCGAUACACAACUAAUAGAAAUUGGUGGCGAAGAAUAUAUGAACAAGAGAGUAGAGAUACGUUGCACUAAAACAUUUCACAAUCUUCGCACGGACUUGGUGGAACACAUUUACGGGAUUCAACACAUUAACCUUAAGUUUGAUCUACCGGAUGACUCGGAAGACGAGUUCUCGGAGAACGACUUUAUGUAGUAUGGUUUAGUUGUUUUAUUUGUGUUUUUUUAAGUUAUUUUAAUCAUUUGAUGUGUGUUUCUAAAGUUUGUAGGAUUUUUUUAAUGGUAUAUGUUUUUUUUUUAAUUUUUAAUAAUGCAAUGUAAUGUUUUUUUAUUUUGAAGUAUUGAUUAUGUUUUUUUUAUUAAAAAUGAAGUUUUAUUUAACUAAAUUAUUAAAAAAAAAAGUGUGACACCACUUUUUGGGUGUGGCAAGAAACCACACUUGUGUGGUAAAAAGUGAUGUAGUGUACAUGUGGCAGUGAAGGAAGUACGGUUUUAAUGGCAUCACUCCUAGCCUUAUGAUGAAUUUAUUGCAUAGAUAGAUGGUGCUAAAGUUUGAAAAACAUUGCACCACAAGUCCACAUGGAUAACACCGUUAAAAAUAAAAGCUACGUUUUUUGUAAAAUUACCGAUUAAUACAACGUUACUGAUAUUUUAUAUUUUCUUUUAAAUGGUUUAUGAUCAAAUAAAAGAAAAUAAGCUCAACUUACCCCACCAUAGUGUGUAAUUGUGUAUGUAUGUGUGUUCUUUGUCUGUCAAUCUCUAGGUUUGUGUUGUGUUUCCUUUAGGUCGAGGAGUACAAUACAAGUAAAGAAAACAUCAUAUUUCCCAUUCAAAUCUCGAGUUGCAUGUCUAAAAGCAGAAGGAAAAAAGUUUGUGCCCAACUGUUCCUUUGAUUCUGUUGUAGGCGUGGUCAAAAAAGCAAAAUAGAACGAGAACAAGGGUUGAGAUGGUGAACAUGUGAAGUGUGAAGAUAUUGAAUUAUGUUUCUUAUCCUUGUUGGCGAUGGUGUUGGGUUGUUGCGAUCAAGGGUGUUGAUGAUAUGGAGUAGAUGAUAAAGGGCUCUAAUCUACUGUGUUUCUUUAGUAAACCACGUGAGGAGAUAACCCAAAUGGUCAUACAACAUCUCCUGUUUUUUAGGUCCAUUUUGUAGUCCAUAUAUCCAUUUUGUUGAUAAUACCUACCGAAUCUUGGAAAACCUUAGGAUGAUUAGCCCAAUUUGUUUUUUUCUUUACAAAUUAUAACUUAUUUGAUUUAGCUUGAUAUGUUUUGCUAUCAUAAUAUCCUUUCUAAUAAAUUAAAUUUUUUUUUUAUUAUUUGUCGCACUCUUAUUCAAUUUGUCAAAUACAUUUUAUGGUUAUUUUGAAUUAAUUUUUUUUCCACAUGUCAAGUUUUUCUAUUUUAUUUAAUUCCACAUAAUAUUUUAAUGUAAUAAUUGCAAUAAAUAUAGUAAUAAAUAGAUAUUAAUUUCACUAAUAAACUUACCUUUUAAUUUCAAAUUUUCCAAAUUAAAGCUCACUAAUCUUUUUUUCUUUAUUUAAAUUAUUUGUUUAAAUUUAAAAGAUAAAAAAAAUUCUAUUAUAAUAAAUAAUUAUUUUUUUAUUUUCUUAUAAAUUCAAAGUUUCAAAUAUUUUGACAUUUAUAUUUAAUUUUUUUAUAAAUUAACCCAUGUACCAUCGGGUCAAGUACACACCAAAACAGUUAUGGACUUAGACACUAAUCCAAUAGUCUCCCACUUGGAAAGUCUAACAACUAUUCUGUGUAUGACUUCAGAUCCUGAUCUGCAAUCGUAGCUUUCAAAAGCCGUUGUCAACUCUGAUCUUAUCAGAUACGCUUGUCCUUUAGAUAAGGGAUCAUAUAUUCCUCCAUUCUAGAUAUCGUAUGGAUAUAAGACAUGAAUUCUAAUCAUUCUCUCUAUACUAUUUCUCGACUUCCGAUUUAUGACGACUAACAACAGACUACAAUUGAACACAUCAAAUUAGUCCCGGCUUGGCCAAGCGCUUAUGUGCCAUCACUAAAUCAUCAAGGGACCCAAAGAUAUCGCUUUUAUCCUACUUUGGAUAAAAGGAACGGAUAAACUUUGAUUCAAUUCUUGCUUGCACUCACUUACCGAAUCACACACAACAAUAUGUUUUAUAACACCAAGUUACUGGUGCGUUUACAUAUUAUCCAUGUGCAACCGACUCGCAAGAUACAACUCACACAUCUCGGUUUCAAGAAUAUAAGAUGUUAUCUACUCACCAAUCACUCGUGAUACGAUUCAUGAAAUGAUCCAAGUGAGCAUGCGUUUAAUCCAAUGCUCAAAUCAUAUUCAUAAGCACUCAUGAACGUUGCAGCAAACAUUUGCUUAUGUCUAAUACACUUUAGACAAUCCACACACCAAUUCAUGACAGUCUUCAUUCAUAUCUACUUCCAACAUAUGAAUGACUAUGGUCCGUUCGAGUAAUUUGAUUAUUCUGAAAUAAUUUAAUUAUUCAGGAAGUCAAAACAUGCAAAGUGAAACACAAGAAUACUGCUAAUCCCAUAUGGCCCCGAACUCUGGGUAUAAAUAAAACAUUUUACUUAAUCACCAUAUUGAUUACUCAUUAUUUGUUGUUUCGGGUAAUCAACUUUUUACUUGAAUUAUAACUACACUUGUCCCAUGCUCUUAGCAUGCACAUAAUGUUCACCUAUGGUCCUUACUUUGUGAAAUAGAUCAAAUGAAUACAUUUCCAAUCAUACUCAUUUCACAAUUCCCAAUCCUUUUCACAAGUGAAAGAACAUCAAAUUCUUGCCACUUAUAGAAUAUGCGAGAUUCUAACAUUUUAUGCAAUGAUCCUUUCGUAAUGUCAUAGCACAAAAAUCACAAUGACUAUUGCCAAUGAAAUUACAAAGUUCUCUAUUUGAGAUUGUUACAAUACAAUUCCAUAGACGUGAUGUCUCUCACUCAAAGUACAUUCCUUUGAACAUCCUUUUGCAUAACAUUUUCUAAUCUAGACAUAGACUCUUAAUAUCCAACUCCCAAUAUGGAAACAUUUCCAUAUUUGUCAUAUGACAACUCAUUCUGAAUAGAAUCUUAUCUAUUCAUAAUAAUGUCGAUAUGAUCCAUCCAAUAACAUACUUCCAACUACUCACAAGAGACUAAUCCUCAGCGAACUUUGGAUCGUCCUUUGAUAGUUGUUUAAUCAUCUUAGUCAAAACCGAUUUUUGUCCUUUUUCCCUCUAAAUGCGCUAGAAAUUUGGAAAAUUUUAGAAUGGUCAAAUAUUAUAGCAUUUGCAAUCGAUCCUUUACCUGAAGCGUAUGAGACACGAUGCAUAAUGUCUUACAAAAAACUGAUACUUUAUCAAUCUUGUGUCAUAAUAUUUUAUGUGUCACAUUCUCAUAAUUCGAACUAUGAAGAGGGAUGCCAUAAUCAUAAUAGAAAUUUUGAGAACACACUAUGUAUCCUUUACUAAAUUUAUUAACAUUCCACAACCUAAGCCUUUAGAUUUGAAAUGAAGCAUAAUAUUCUCUCCCUUAAUUAUAGCAAAACAACUUUUCAACCCUUACGACUUUGCAAAGUAUAACUCUUGUUUUCUAUAAUUAAUAUUGCUAACUUGCAAUACUUGCCUUAAUAAUCAUACAAGCACAACAUUUAUGCUCCCACUAUCAUGAUGAUUAUUAUCAUAUAAGCAUAACACUUAUGCUCCCACUAGCUUUGACAUGUAUUCAGAAAACAGCUUAACUUCCAGAAAAACAAUACCUAUUGAAUUUCUUAAGUUCAUAUUUCUAAUACCUAAUGCUUUGAUAAUCUUUUAUCUAAGCUUCUUAGUCUUAUACACCUUUUCCUUAGAUAGCUCAUAUGUGUGUCUAAACAAUUCAGACUAAUUGCCAAAUCUCACAAUUCGAAUCAUGGAAAGGGAUACCGUAACCAUAAUCGAAUUCGAGAAUACAAUUUUCACAAUCACUAUCUUCUUAAAAUCUCUCUUAGUGAAAGCAUUUCCUCACAGUCAUUUUCAUGAAGGAGGGAAUCUUAUGACACUUAGAUUUUAAUGGUGUAUGUGUUCCUAUCCAUGCGAAUUUUUCAAAACCAAAGUUUGUGACAAAUCCAAACUCAUAUGGACCGAACUUUCUCAAUCUUGAUUUCUUGCCUUAUGGUAACACGAGUGCCCACCAUGUCUUCCAAGUAGUUAAGCAGCUCACCCUUUCCUAUCAAUGUACUUUUCAUUGAUCAAGGUGCUUGCCUUUUAUGCGUUCAAAUGAGAACUCAUAGAACUCACAUGCAUAAUUAACUCAAUUGGAACGGCACAGAAACAAGAUAGUGUCAACACGAUAGGUUGUAAACCUCAAGUCGUGUGCUAGUGAUGAUCGAUAAGGUUUAUUCUUGAUUAGUUCUUGAAACUUUUCAAGACCAUUAAGACUCCCACUGACUCCUUGACAUAUAAGAUUCUCUUGUCAAUAAACAUUUCUUGACAAACAAAUAUUCAAGAGUUAGUGUAGCUUUUAUCAAGACAAAACACUUCACAAAAUUGGUCCUAGUUGGUCUUUGUCUUAUCCAAGACAUCACAACUUUCCAAUUUCAAAUGUGCAAGAAUAAGAAAACCUUUUCAAAUUCCACAUUUGAUGAAUGUUAUAAACCUUCUUAAGACUUGUCACUCAAUGUCACAAUCUUAACUCUAAGAAUUGUUUUGGAACGAAGUAUGAUUGACUUCUUGAUUUAACCAUUUCUUCAAUUCUUGAUUCCUCUUCUCAGACAUACAGUUGUACUAAGAAUUACUUAGAGGAUCAAUUGAGAUAUGGUUCUUAAUCAUUAAGACCUAUCAUAAAACAUAAUAAAAGGUACUCUCCCUUCUUCUUAGAAUAGAGAAACUUUUAUCUUUCUGCCUACUUGAUUCUUCUUAUCCGUUCUGCUAUUGAUUGAAACUCUUUUAAUCAAUUCAGAAUUACACUUAAUAUUAUAAGUAUAAUCAUAUUUACUAAACCUUUAGUAAAUCAUGACGAAUAUCUUUGUUACUCUUGUGGUGGACUUGAUCAACACACAACUUUGUGUACUUGAUCUCCUAGUCCUUCACUUGACACUUUGUCAACGAAUUAGUCUAAUUUCCAAAUAUGAAAUUUCUCAUUCAUCAUGCAACCAAGUUGUAUGAUUCCAAGUUUCUGUCCAAUUGAAACUUGGGCGAUGAGAAACUUUCCCUAUUUGGUAAAUUCUUGACCUUUCCACAAAUAACAUAAUUAAGAAUCAAAUCCAUUAUUGCUAAUAAUAGAAACUUACAAACAUCAAUUUUUCAUACACGUCAUUGCAAGAAUAAAUAAAUAAUAUAAAAUCAAAUUUUAUUUUAUUGCGUAAAAAAUUGUCCUUACAAUGCAAUUCAAUGAAAAACUAUGUUAACACAUAUUUCUUAGCAAUCUAUUCUAACUCUUAGUAGUAGCUCAAGAAUCCAAUCUUCAAGUAAUGCGAUCGAAAUCCAUUUCUUCACGAUUAGAUUCCGCUCACUUCUUCCCUUAAGCUUCCUUUCUUUUCUUCGAUCCUACAAAACAUCGAUUGUAAUCUUAUCACAUUAUGUAUUAAGAAUCUAGAAUAGANGAGCCACACGUUUUGACUCUCCCAUCUCUUAGAUCUCUUAGGUAAAUAGGACAGCUUCGUCUCCAAUGCCCCUUCUCUUGGCAAUAAAAGCAAGUUGACUCUUUUGGAAUAGCACAUGGAACUACUUCAGACUUUGCCUUUCUCUUAUGAUCAAACUUUUCGAUCAUGGCAUGCCAUUCGUUUCCAUUGCCUAUAUCCAUAGAGGUCUGGAAGGCAGAUUCACCAAUCAACUUUGCUUUUCCAGUGUGCCAAAUCAUUGCUGAUUCAGCAGCAAUAAGCAUAUAGGUGAGAUCGAUGAGGGUUAUGUCGUGGCUCAUCAUAUGGUACUCUCUUACGAACUCACUAUAUGAAUCAGGAAGUGACUGAAGAAUCCAGUCAAUAGCCAGAUCCUCACAUACAACAGAUCCCAACAUUCUUAACCUAUCAAUGUGUGACUUCAUCUCUAGGACGUGUGCACACACUGACUUUCCUUCUUCAUGUUUACUUUCUAAAAGGGCUUGAAUGAGUUUGAACUAUUCAAUCUUUUGAACUUGUGGGUUAGGGAGAACAAUAGAAGGAGGUGGAGGAAGUGAAGCAUGAUCUCGUGUUCCUCGAUCGAAUCGUGGAAUAUCAUCUUCAUGUGAAAAGCUUGUUCCACGGGAUUUGGGAAGACCAUAGUUGUCAUACUUUGACAUCUACAAAACGGGAGAAAAAUUAAAGUUAGUUGAUUGAUUGAGUCCUUAAUAAAUCACCCAAAUGAGAUACUAAGGCUAGGACCCAACACAAUAUUCUACAACUUGGGAGAGGGAUACCGUAACCCAAAUUGCAGAACAUUUGAAGGUAAGUGAAUGACGAUUCACUAAUUUUCCACCAUGAAAAACGAAAAACAGAUUAAGUUUUAAAUGCUUUGAAAACUCCUAGAUCCUUUGAGAUUCAUUGAACUUUUCAAUGGCAUGUAUAAAUCUCGAUAUGCCCCUCGAUUUGUGACUGGGAUGCCGAGGAUCACAAAACCGGGUGCGAAUAACCAUGCAAACUUACAUGGUGCCCCCACAUGUUACAGUCACCUAUUCGAUGUGUCGGUUAACCACACACGCUCCACCGAAAUAUGACAAACAUUGAGUCACCCUUUGCUACCUUUGCUUAGAACCAUUUAGUGUGUCGGUUAACCACACACACUCCAUUAACGUCUUCGCAAGGGCACAAAGUGUAAUUUCAUGGAAGUGCAUCAAUUCACUUUUGCCUAAAGUAACUAAGAUUGGGAAUUUGUAAAAGCAUGUGGUUACUUUAGUACUUCAUUAUACUUAUAAUGGAAGGUUUAUGUCCUAUCCUACCCGUUCGGCUAACGACCCUCCACUAGUCAAGAGUGCGGUGGGUAAGAGUGGAUACCCAUUCAAUCGCCAUUUUAUAGGCAAUUUCCUUAAACACCCCUUAUAGACUAGCUUCGUGAAUGAGGCCUACUAACGGUAAGACUGACUUUUACUCAUACAUAUAUAUAAUGUUAGACUUUUAAUGUUAUAUAUAGUAUAGGGUGUAUUUUACACUUUUAAAAUACUAGGUGGUCAAAUUUAACAAUUAUACUUUUAAUUCAAUUAAAUUGUAAACCAAAACUUUUAUGGAUUUAUUAAACCUCUUUUAAUUAUACACCUUAAUUAAUUAAUAAAACCAUAAGGGUGUGAUUUGAACUUUUCAAAACAAUACUAGGGUUUUAGAAUUUAACAUUUCUAAAUUAAACUUUUAAUCAACUUUUAAAUUCCAAAACUUGAGGGCAAGUUUUGAAACAUUUCAAAACAUUAGGGUUUCAACUAUUUAAAUUUCAAAACAAAACCUUUAAGUUCAAAUUUAAACCAUAAAACUUACAUGGGCACAAAUGAAACUUUUUCACAACACAAGGAUCAAAUAACAAAUAAUAGAAAUUAAACAAUUAAUUUUGUCAUUAUCUAUAUUUGACCUAAUUUCAAUUUCUUGCAAGAUAAGUUACCCAAUUAAUACAAAUAAUCAAACUUUAAUCAUAUAAGGAAGUUAUUAUCUAAUCAAUUGGUAAUUAUCUUUUGUUUAAUCAAGGAUAUACUCAUAAAUAUGUAUAAAAUCGGAUUUUAAUGACCUAAAACAGAUAAGGCAAGUAUCCAUGAGAAAAAGAGCAAGAAAUCCCGAAAUCCCCUCUUUCUGACGCUCGAACUCGCCGAGUACCACACUGGACUCGCCGAGUUGAGGCCUACUCGCCGAGUACACUGUGGUACUCGCCGAGUUCAUCAGGCAGGGAGCUCAAAACUCGAUUUUGCAACUUGAACAAACGUACAAGGCAUCAAUACAAUAGAAACCAAUCAAGGCUCUGAUACCACUGAUGGGUUUUAGCCAUAAGAACAUCCUAUGUGCUCAUGCAAACCCUAAUGCUUGGAUCUAGGUUUCUCUAUUGUACAUGCAAUGUAUCCAAGACUUACAAUCUUAGAUCUAACAUAUUAUAAACUGAAAUUAGGGUUUAGAGAAUUACCUUUGAUUGUUAUGUAGCAAUAACAAUCUCAAAUCCUCCUUGUAAUGACUUUAAAAAGCUUAGAGUCACAAUUGUCACUCCUCUAAUGGCUCACAAACACCAAGAGCAAGAGGAUGAAGAAUAAGGAGAGAGGAGGCUGCCCAAAACGUCCAGAAACCCUAGUAGAACUCUUAGCCACGUUUUUGGGGCUUAAGGGUACUAUAUAUACAUUUAGGCUAUUAGGGUUUUUAACUAGGAAACCCUAAUCUGACUGCUUAAGCCCUAAGCAGCCCAUGGACCCUUUUAGAAUAUCCCCUGGACGAUUUCUAAUGGGUUUCCCCAUAGAAUUCGCCCAACCUAUUAUUCCAAGGUGAUCCAUAGCCCAAAUGCAAUUAUCUUAUAAUUACAGUUCCAGUCCCUUAAGUUUAAUUAAUCUCUAUGAGCUACAAAAUUAAUUAUCAAUUAAUUCUUGACUAAUAUUAAUUAAACAAUAUGAUUUCUCCUUUAAUAUAUUAUUCUCAUAAUAUAUUAAUAAAUUAUAAUUAAUCCUUUCUCUCCAUAAUUCAUCCUAUCAAGUUGCUUUGGUGAAGGCAACCCAAAAGGACCAUGCACCAUCGGGUCAAGUACUCUAUUAGGCGUGACCAAUACAAGAUUUGAUAAUAUUUAUUAAUACACAAUCAAUAAGUCUACUUGCUAUUAAGCAUGAUGCUAUAUGAUCACGUGUUAUUAGAAAAUAUCAUUACACGAACCAGGGGCGGAUUUAGGGGGGUUCCAGGGUGAAACCGGCAACCCCUAAAUUUUCUGGCCGCAUUGGAAAAACUUUCGAAUUUUUUUUAAAUUUUUAUUUUUUCUACUAUCGUGCAACCCCUAAUCUUCUCGUGCAACCACUACUAUGAAAUCCUGCGUCCGCCCCUGACACGAACAUAUAGAUCUUUCAUUAUGUUCUUUAACUUAACUACCACCUAACCUCCAAACAUUACCCGGUAACAACCAUAAAAUUACACAAAUCUAUCGAGAGUGAAAAGUAAACUUUUAAUGACAAUUUAAGUAGAUAAUAACCAUUCACUUGUUUCCAUAUAAAUUAUCAUUGACGGUUCACUUUUCACAUUUUAUAGAUGUGUGUUGGCCGAUGGUUGUUAACAUGUAAGGUAUGAAUGUUGGUUGGUAGUUACAUUAAACAACAUAAGAGGAACACCAACAUUAGAGGAAUGCUAAUUAAGUUAAUCUCACCAUUAUACCCACAACAAUGCACAGGAAGAACGUAGAGAGUUUGAGUGGCCAAGACGCAAUAGAAUACUUAGACCACCAAUUUAUUCCUAGAAUAAUUGUUGGAAAAGUCCCAAAAUUUUGAGCAAACUAACGAAAAAUGACAAAAUGCCGGCAAAAUUUACGAAACCGCUCGAAAAAGGUUUUUUCAAAGUUUUAACCGGUAUUCUGUGCUUUUCUGUAAAUAAAAUUUAGUUUGGGACUUUUUCAUAAAUUGGACUAAAAUUUUAGAACUUUUCUGGAGAUUUCCCUUAAAUUUCUAACAAAAAAAAAAGAUAUAUAUACACUAAAGUCCUAAUAUUUUCGACGAUUUGACAAGGAAGUCCGAAACUUUAUUUUUUUGAUAGUAAAGUCCUAUUUGUUGAUUCGACAAAAAAAUCAUAAACUUUAUUUUUUUUUACAGUAAAGUCCUAAUUACCGGCUAACCGGAAAAAAUCUUAAACGUGUAAAAAACCGUCGGCAGUUAAGACUUUACUAUAAAAAAAAUAAAGUUUAGAACUAUCUUGUCAAAUCGAUGAAAAUAUUGGAACUUUAGUGUAUAUCUAUCCCUUUACAAAGUAGCCAACUUGCAACAACCCAAAAAUACGGAUAAGAAUUUUUUUUUUAAUUUCAUUCAAAUCACAUGAUACUAAUAUCAAAAUAGUCAAAAGAGUAUCAUAGCUACAUGUUAUAAAAAUACAAAUUCUCAAAAUCUCUAAAUGCGGAAACCAUAGGGUGAUGUGGUGCGAUCAGGUCGGGCCCUUCCCCUUCGAAAUGGAAGUACCUGAAACAUAAACUGAAAACUAUAUGUACAAAUCUUAGUGAGUUCCCGACCCCAAAAUACCAUAUACUAAACAAACAUACAACCAAGCAUAUAUGGGUGCUUGGCUACCCCUUUGGUCUAUUUCAGCUGGAUACUCUCAAGCAUAUAUGGGUGCUUGCAAUCCUCUUCGGUCUAUUUCAGUCGGAUACUGUCAAGCAUAUGUGGGUGUUUACAAUCCCCUUCGGCCUAUUUCAAUCGGAUACCUGGUCUAUUUCACCCCCAGUGGCGAAUCUAGAACCAAAAACCACGUGGUUCCUUAUGUAAUGAAACUAAAAAAAAAUACUAAUGGUGUCGGGUCGGGCCGUAUGCCUUUAAAUAGUUAAACAUAACUUCAAUAUUUAUAAUAAAAUUUUACAUUUAAACUCUACUAGGUUUAUACCUUGAAAUGUAUUCAUAAUUAUAUCGUUAUUGAUAUUUUCUAAAACAGUUUUUUUCAAUAUACGACCUUAAAUUAUCAUUCAAAAAUUGAAAAAUAUAAAAUAUGGGCACGAGUCAGUGACGCAUGGUAGAGGGGAGACGGUGGCAGGUGGCCUGGCCAAACGGUGGACAAUGGGAUCAAUUGACCGAUCAGGCAGGCGAGAACAUGAUGAGGCGUCAAACGUUAAGAUAUGUCGAUCGGUGAUCACGUUUCGUGAGUUUUUUAAAAAAUAAAAUAAAUGAAUUGGGCUAUUGGCUAAUGAAUAAAUUUUAAAUGGAUUGAAAGUGUGAACUAUUUUAAGUGGAUUACAAGGUAUGUCCUAUAAAAAUAAAAUNNNNNNNNNNNNNNNNNNNNNNNNNNNNNNNNNNNNNNNNNNNNNNNNNNNNNNNNNNNNNNNNNNNNNNNNNNNNNNNNNNNNNNNNNNNNNNNNNNNNNNNAUAUAUAUAUAUAUAUAUAUAUAUAUAUAUAUAUCUUACACUAAAUAUUAAUAUUAAGAAAAAUAGGUAGGUCCUAGGACCUACCAACCUUCAACUUAGCUACACCCCUGUUCACCUUUACUACUACCACAUAAUAUCAUAACAAGAGUCACAGAGUCAUCAAGAAAAUAUAGGCAUAACUGACAAUUGUCACAAAGACAUUCAUCACACUACAUCAUAAACUAAUGGGCCGACAUUGGUGCCUUCGACCCAUGGAUACAUUGAAAGAAAAUUCACCUCAGACUGAAGGUAUUGAAUCACUGUAACGACCCAAAAUUUUUUGUUUUAAUAUUACUACAAAUCACAACAUCAAACGUUGUAACAUCCCAAAAAUACAGUCUGAAAAUUUCGUUUUAAAGUAGUAAUAAAACCUUGUUCAUCAAUCGUCAUAUAAGAAUCAUAAAGAAUGUAUCUCAAAAUAUCUUAACAAUUGUCAAAUAUAUCAGAGUAUAAACAUCCCAGGCUGAACAAAUGGUGUGUGCACUGCAAUCUUCCCGAACUCCUCUUUUAAAAACUGAGUACCUGAAACCAAAAUUGAAAACCAUAAGCACGAAGCUUAGUAAGCUCCCCCAAACUACCACAUACCAUACAAUAACAUAUAAAGCAUCUACUGGGCCUUGCCCACUGCAUCGGACCGAAGUCCGGAAACUAACCAGGGCCUUGCCCUCUGCAUCGAACCGAAGUCCGGAAACUGCAUCGGACCGGAGUCCGGAACUAACCAGGACCUUGCCCUCUGCAUCGGACCGAAGUCCGGAAACUGCAUCGGACCGGAGUCCGGAACUAACCAGGGCCUUGCCCUCUGCAUCGGACCGAAGUCCGGAAACUGCAUCGGACCGGAGUCCGGAACUAACCAGGGCCUUGCCCUCUGCAUCGGACCGAAGUCCGGAACUAACUGCAUCGGACCGAAGUCCGGAACUGAUUGGGACCUUGUCCCCUGCAUCGGACCGAAGUCCGGAACUGACUGAACAUAACAUAGCAUAAACAUAUCAACUAGCAUGAAUACAUAUACUGCAUACUGCAUCGGAACAGAGUCCGGAACACAUAACACAAAACAUGCUUGAAUCACAAAGACAUCAAGCACUCUAACUACUGCAUCGGACCGAGGUCCAAAACUAACUGAACAUAGCAUAACAUAAUCAUAGCAUAUAAUCUAAACACAUAUACCGCAUACUGCAUCGGACCAUAGUCCGGAACACAUAACUCAUACCCUGUCUGUAUCACAAAGACACCAAGCAUACUGAACUACUGCAUCGGACUGAAGUCCGGAACUACUGCUAACUAAACGGGCCGGCAUUGUGGCCGUAGACCCGUUCCUACUGGAAGGAAACUCACCUCACACUGCUGAAGUCCCGUAGACACAAUCCCACACUGCUGAAGUCCCGCAGACUCCACCCCAGCUGCUGGCUGACAGAUUCCCGAACUGUCAACACCAAAUAACACCCAAUUAAUAAUUGGGUUCUAACACAUAACUAAAAAUACAUGCUUUGGAUAAUUACUACAUUACCCCUAGCUUGGCUUACCCAAGCCCAAGGCCCAAUCCAUAGGCCCAAAGUCAACUAGGGAUCAAAGCCCAACAUAUGGCCCAAUUUUCCAAAUUGGGCCCAAACCUCUACAUGGACUUCUCUUGAGGCCCAAAUGUCCAGUCUAGUCCAACAUGUCCCAUUCUAAGGGCCCAAUAUCAUACAAUCCUCUCGGCCCCAACUAUGGCCCAUCUAUGGCCCAAUUUUCCAAAUUGGGCCCAAUCUUUCAUAUGGGCCUUACCUUAAAGCCUAACUAAUUACUCUAGUCCAUUUGAUUUUUCUCGGAUGGCCCAACACAAAGCCCAAGUGAAAUUAGGGUUUCACAUCAAAUGAUAACUAGGGUUAAGUGUUGCUUACUUAACCCGCUAAGGACUUAACACACUAGGGACUUAAUCCAUUAAGGACUUAAUCCAUUAAGUCCAUUAUUGCUUAGAUUAAUUUCUGCCAAUGAUUAUUAUUUAAUAUUCACUUAUUAAAUAAUUCUCGUGUGCGUGCUGAUAAUCUCUCAAAUAUUAGUAUUUUCUCAAUUAGCUCAUUAAGGACUUAGUCCAUUAAGUUCUUUACUCUACUAGAUAAAUGAGAUGGAGUGAUUGGGCUUAAUACAUAAUCCCAUCUCAAUGGCCCAAAAGUGGGUCCAAUAAGUCUAAGGCCCAAUACUCAUAAUUAGGGUUUUCCACCCAAACAUGGCCCAAUAGGCCCAAAACCAAUCUCUAAGCCCAUUAGGGUUUGCUAGCGGGGCACCACCCACUACCACCUCGGGUAGUGGUGGUCAAUGGCGGCUCACGGCGGCGGCCACCACCUUACGGUGGUGGUUUCAAUUAUUAUUAUUAUUAACCAAUUUAAUUACAGUUACAAUGUUUGAUCAAAACAUAACCACACACGCUAACACACUAACUAAUACACACACACUGCCACACCAUGGUGGCCGGCGGUGGCGCUGGGCGGCAGCCACCACCUCACGGUGGUGGUAGUGGCUUCCUUGCUAUUUCCGGCUAGACUAAACACCCAAACACCACUAAACUGCAAUUAAACACACACACACACACACACGAUUUCUAUUGCACAAAGGUCCAGCCACCCUCCCCUGGUGGCUCACGGCUCACUGGUGACCACAGCCGCCAUACAUGGCGUCAAACCAACAAAAGGAACGAGAGGGAAAAAGAGAAGAAUCGACUGAAGGUUUCUCGACAGCCCAAUACUUGCACAGCGACAGAAUAACGGGAGCCAGCGCCUCCGGCAAUCAGCGUCGCAAUGGCGAUGUUCGUCCGACACGGCAGCAGCGACCACAGCGACGGAAGAUUUCUUCCCGGUCUUCGACGGUCUCUUGGUGACUCACGUUUUUGCCGGCAGCUCAUCUCGAUGGUGGCAGUUCCAUGGCAUGGCGGCGACCAAUGGAAAGGAAGCAGCUAUGCUAGACGACCUCGACGGUAGCAGCGGAGGCCGGGCUUGUCGUCGUCAACGGGAAUGGAGGCGGCAAUUCGACGAUUGGGAACGGCAGUAGGUGGCAGUCGUCGGAACUCCAUCUGGUCGAAGCACAAUGGGGAAAGCCGGUGAUGGCGGCUGGAGGAGAGCUUGGGUUAGGGUUUUGGGAGUGAUGAACUUAUGACGGGAAUGAUAUACCACCGGGUUCAAUCCCGUGUUCAUUCAAACUUCAAGCGAAAUUGACACUUCCAGUCCCUCCUUCUCAUAGCUCUUCAAAACAAAUCUUUAAUUUACACUUCAGCCCCCAACACUCCUAAUUCCUUUCAAUUUAGAUCCUAAAAAUUACCAAGCAGCCCCCAAUUCUAAAACCCUUUUCAAAUUACAUCCGAAACUUACUCUUUUAACCCCCGACUUCUAAAAUUCUUCACAAAUUAGUCCGGGACUUACAUUUACUAAUUAUUUAAAUAAACGGGACGUUACAAACGUUAUGUAUAACAAAACCAUGGAACGAGUAACCCAAAGUCAUAGUAACAGUAUUCAAAACAAGGACUGUAUCAAUCAUAUAAAAAUAUCAGAGUAAAUGCCCAGGCUAAACUGAAAUUGUGGUGUGUGUCAUGUCAUCAUCCUGAGCUCUUCCCCUUACUGGCAAAAGUACCUGAAACCAAAAUUGAAACUUGUAAGCACAAAGCUUAGUGAGCUCCCCCAAACUACCACAUACCAUAUAAUAACAUAUAAAGCACAUACUGGGCCUUGCCCACUGCAUCGAACCGAAGUCUGGAAACUGCAUCAGACCGAAUUCCAGAAACUAACCAGGGCCUUGCCCUUUGCAUCGGACCGAAGUCCGGAAACUGCAUCGGACCAAAGUCUCGAACUAACUGCAUCGGACCGAAGUCCGGAACUGACUGGGACCUUGUCCCCUGCAUCGGACCGAAGUCCGGAACUAACUGCAUCGGACCGAAGUCCAGAACUGACUGAAUCAUAACAUAGCAUAGACAUAUCAACUAGCAUGAACACAUAUACUACAUACUGCAUCGGACCCGAGUCCGGAACACAUAACACAAAACAUGCUUGAAUCACAAAGACAUCAAGCAAUCUAACUACUACCUCGGACCGAGUUCCGAAACUACUGCUAACUAAACGGGCUGGCAUUGUGGCCGUAGACCCGUUCCUACUGGAAGGAAACUCACCUCAGAAAGUUGACUGCUGAAAACCCGAGUGAAACAUCCUUGACUGCUGUCCCGGCUGCUCUCCAACUAUUAUGACAAUCAAACACUUAAUCAAAAAGGGGAUCUUUCAACGGGUAAAAUGACUAUUUUACCCCUACUAUGGUGUGGGUCAUAAUCAUGGCCUAAACCCUUUAAUUCUUUCUAAGUCCUCCACUGGGCCAUUAAAGGCCCACUAAUGGCCCAGUUAUACUAAAUUGGGCCUACUUCACACAUGGCCCUUCAUAAGCCGAAAACUGCCCUUGGCCCAUAAUUUAACUCCUACUGGCCCACUAAGGCCCUAGGUCCAAAAUACAGCCCACACCGAGGCCCAAAACUCAACGUCCAAUUGACUGUGUUACGCGGGGCGUACUCCAGAGUACGCUUAGCGUAACGGCUUGAUGGCAAGUACGUUGGGCGUGCCUACACGUAUGCUCAGCGUAAUACCCUGAUAAGCUCUUUCUCUAUUAAGUACUUAAUACUCCGAGUCAGAAGCUACAAUCUUAGAUCCAGGUCUUAUCCCACGUCUUAAACCAUAAAGUUGCUUACUUGAUGGCUUACAAGACUCCCAUAAGCUCAAACUUCUAAAAACAACCAUCUAUUUCCAAGAAGAUGGCUAGAUCUCAUGCAUGGCUUCAUGAAAGCCUCAAAGAUCGAAACUUUACUGCUAUGGGGACACUUUGAGCUUCAAGGAUAGCAAUCCCAAGCUCCAAAACGAAGUUGCAUGAUAAAGGUCCUACCUUUGGACCUAAAAGUUCCAAACUUCCAAAAACUCCUAGAUCAAAGCUUACAAGAGGAAAGUUGGAAGCUUUAUACCUCUUUUGGAUGCCAAAAGAAGAAAUGAUCCCAGAUCCUUGAGCUCAAGGUACUCAAGUUCUCCUUCUUCCAAUCUUCUUCUCUUCUUCCAAGCUUUUCUUCACAAAAAUGAACCCAAAAGAUCCACCACACACAAACAAAGGGGUAAGGGACGAACUAGGGUUUUCUGAGAGUAAAGGAUAUGUGAGGAGGCCAAAUGAGAGGCUAUAAUGGGGUUUAAAUACGUCUCAAACCCUAAAAUUAGGAUUUGUCAUCUGGUCGCGUACGCUGAGCGUACCUUAGGGUACGUUACGCGUACGCCUUCCAUAACCCGCGCAUCCUAGGGACACUAUGCCCCGCGUACAACAGGUUACGCCCCGCGUACGGCUUAUGGGCAGCCUACAACUCGGCCCAAGAAUCAAGAAGGCCCAAUCCAAUCCAAGAUGUCCAAUUCCAAACAUAGCCCAACUAAAACUCAAGAAAUAAAAUUAAUUAAUACCUCUAAAGUUGAUUGUUACAAUCACACUCAGCGGGUGACUCACGAAAUCCUCUCCUUAAGACACAAACAUAAAACCCUCAUUAGAAAUUAGGACAACACUCUCACCCGACAAUCCAAACACUAAUUCUUGACUUAAGGCAAAAAGGGCUUCUUUACCCUUGCCUCAUUGGGCCUCCCUCCCUCCAAGGCCCAAAUCCAUAUAAAGUCCAAAAAGGCAUCCAAGCCCAACUACAAGGCCACUAAGGCCCAAUAUGGACUAAGAUCACCCAACAUGGCCUUAAGCCCAAAAAUGUCCUGCUACAAAAGGUGGGUCCGAGGCCCAACCUAAAUAAGUCCAAAAAGCCUAACAAUAAUCGAGCCCAAAAUUUUUCUAAGUCCACAGACUGCAUACGCGCAACAUACAUGCCUCGUACGCCCAAUGUAUGCUGAUAACAAUCUGAAAUUGGGGCACUGGCCCAGUACGUGCAACGUACUGUAGAGUACGCCCAACGUACUGGUUAGUCAGCCCAUACUUGCUCCCAUGACUUAAUCCCUUAAGCCCUAACAUCUAAAACUUAGAUCCAAGCUCAUAAUAAUGUCUUAAGCCAUAAAGUUGCAAACUUUAUGCUUUUACAUGCCUUGUUGGGGGUCAAACUAUGAAUUAAGCCCUUUAACACACUUAGGUGGUCACUAACACAUGCAUGGUUGAGUAUAAACCUCCAAGAUACGAUUUCUAUGACUCCAAAGACUUCCAAGAGUCCAAAAGUACAGUUCAAAUGCCCUGGAGUAGCUCAUACACCAAGAAACCAAGUUAUGUAACCAAAAGAUGCUAAAAUCUACCCUAAACUUAGAUGUAAGCUUAGAAUGAUCAAGGUUUGGUCAUGCUAGGUUUCAUCAAUGAUUGUGGAUGGUGAUUCAUGCUAAAAUCCCACCGUGACACCAUCCCCAGAUGAUGGGUUACAAAAGAGUAAGAAGAAGGAUUUGGGUUUGGUCAUGCUAGGUUUCAUCGAUGAUUGCGGAUGGUGAUUCAAUUGAAGAAGAUGGUGGAUCUUGAACAAUGACUUUGUUUUUUACAUAUGAAAUCUUCAAAAGUCUGGGGUUAUUGUGGUUUCAUCUGGGUGCAUUUUAUGUGUGAGAGAUCUUGUGUUUGAAUUUGUAGAUACGAAGGUGGUGAUGAGUUUUUACAGGUUGUUUGGUGAUGGAGCUCUAAUGUUGAAGAGGAGAAGAAGACGAAGGUCUUCAAUGGAACUCAAAAAUCAAAAUUAAGUGGUGGUGUUGGAAGAAUGACAUCAAAGAGAGAGAGAGAGAGAGAGAGAGUGUGUGAGAGAGAGAGAGANNNNNNNNGAUAUUUAAACAGUUUUUUUAAUUUGAAGAGGGACUAGUACAAAAAUGAAACUAACAAUCAUUCAAUUUUUUCAAAGUUUGAAUGUGUAUUUAAAAAAAUAUAAAUCAUAAAAACCAUUUUUACAGUUUUAUUUAAUUUAUAAUUAGAUUUCCGAAUAAUAUAAUAUUUGAAAUUCAUAUGAUCAUUAAUCAUGUUAUUAAAAUAAGUAAUAAUAAUAGUAAAAAGAAGAAGAAUGAUAUGUCUAUAUAUCAAAUUCAAUAUGUUACACUUUAAAACUUAAAUGAAUCAAAGAUAGUUUAUCUCCAAGACAUUUAUAAAAUCCUACUUCUCAAAUACCCUAUUUAUAUAAAUAAAUAAACUCCACGUGCGAAACCUAUCACAAAUUAAUACAUGCAUUAAAAAUAAAUGCACAGUCCAUCUCACUUCCCUUUAAAAGUCCGAUUCGUCCUUUGUUCCUGUGCCUCUCGGGCUCUUACUCUUCACACCUGUCGAUACUCAAUAUGAGUAAACACAACACCCAGACCAGCAGGAAAGUCAGCAAUGGAUCAUUCCGAUCGAUUUUCAUGCAUGCCGACGGUGCCGACAUGUUUUUGAUGACCUUUGGGUUUUUAGGUGCCGUCGGCGACGGAAUUUCGACGCCGACCAUGUUUUAUUUUACCAGCACCAUCAUGAACAGCAUUGGAGACUUCUCUUCUCUAUCCAACGAUGUUUUCAUCGACAAAAUCAACAAGGUCAGUUAAUCAUAAAUCAAUAUAUUAAUAAAUCAUCGUCAACAAAUCUAACUGGGUUUUACUUUCAUGUUUACAGAAUGCAGAAUAUCUUUGUUUCUUAGCUAUUGGGAAAUUUAUAGCAUGUUUUCUUGGUAGGUUUUGCUCGAUUUCCAUUGUUUUAAAUCGUUCCUAUAUAUCAGAAAAAAAUAUAUAUAUAUUUCGUGAUUUUUGCAGAGGGGUAUUGCUGGGCAAGAACAGCAGAGAGGCAAGCAUCAAGAUUGAGGUCGGAUUAUUUGAAAGCGGUUUUAAGGCAAGAAGUGGCGUAUUUCGACUUGAAUGUAACAAGCACAGCAGAGAUCAUUACAAGUGUUUCCAGUGAUAGUCUCGUGAUUCAAGAAGUCAUCAGCGAAAAGGUGCCUGUGUUCGUGAUGUAUGUAUCUCUUUUUUGUGGGGCAUAUGCUGCGGCGUUUAUAUUGCUAUGGAGGCUAGCAAUUGUUGCGCUUCCAUUUAUUAUAGUUUUAGUUAUACCUGGUUUGAUUUAUGGAAGAGUUCUGAUGAGGUUAUCAAGAAAGAUGAGGGAGGAGUACAAUAAGGCUGGUGCGGUGGCGGAACAGGCGAUUUCUUCCGUGAGGACUGUUUAUUCAUUUGUUGGUGAAAAUAAGAGCUUAACAGAGUACUCAGCUGCUCUUGAAGGAAGCUUUAAAUUGGGUUUAAAACAGGGUUUAGCCAAAGGAUUAGCGAUUGGCAGCAAUAGUGUGUCUUAUAUCGUCUGGUCUUUCUUGAUUUGGUAUGGUAGUAGGCUGGUGAUGUAUCAUGGAGCUAGAGGUGGAACUGUGUUUGCUGUUGGAGCUGUCAUCACCUUUGGUGGAGUGUAAGUUUUUUUCCAUCUGUUAUUUCAUCAAACAGGUUGUCUGCAUUAUACUUGCAUAUCUUUUUUUUAAAUGGAUUUUAAGGAUAUCUUAAUAAUGAAUCCAAUAACGACAGAUCACUGGGAUCUGCAUUAUCGAACGUGAGGUACUUUUCCGAUGCAAUGGCUGCUAGUGAACGUAUAAGGGAAGUGAUCAAAAGAGUUCCGGAGAUCGAUUCAGAUAACAUGGAAGGGGAGAUAUUACAACAAGUAUCCGGAGAAGUGGAAUUCAAGAACGUGAAGUUUGCGUACCCAUCAAGGCCGGAAUCGGUGAUAUUCAAAGACUUUAACUUAAAAGUUCCGGCAGGGAAGACGGUGGCGUUGGUAGGUGGGAGUGGAUCUGGUAAAUCGACUGUGAUUGCAUUGUUGCAGAGGUUUUAUGAUCCUCAAGGAGGAGAGAUUUGUGUUGAUGGGUUGAGAAUUGAAAAGCUUCAAUUAAAAUGGCUAAGAUCACAAAUGGGUUUGGUGAGUCAGGAGCCCGCUCUAUUUGCGACAACGGUAAAAGAGAAUAUACUUUUUGGCAAGGAAGAUGCCUCCAUGGAUGAAAUCAUUGAAGCUUCCAAAGCUUCAAACGCUCAUAACUUCAUCUCCCAGUUGCCUCAGGCCUAUGACACACAGGUUCUUUUUCAUACUUCCAUCAAAACACACACACACAAUUAUACAAAUAUUAAACUAAUUUGAGCACUAAUUUGUAAAUAAUUUAAAUUUUAAACUUAAUAUUCGAUUUUUAUGUCAUUAUUGUGACAGACGUCAACAAACUGAUAAAAAUAAUAUUAAAAAAAAUUAACAUGUUUCUAAUUGAUUUACAAAAUAUUUACAUCAUUUAUGAAAUGUAAUAUCUCGGUUUACAAAAUAAUUUAUUUAGAUGGGAUUCUAUCCUGAUUCUCUGGAUCGAAUGGCGUCCUUUAACGAUAAACUAAUAAGGCAAACAUGUGACGCAAACACUUUGUUUAAGAAAUAUACGCAUAUCUUCUAUCAUUGUUACAAAUGUCAACUCUACCGUCUAAUAUUAUAUGAGUAUGUUUAAAAAANAAAAAAAAAAAAAAAAAAAAAAAAAAAAGAAAAAGUUCAAUAGAGGGUUUAAUGGGAAGUUUAAUAUCAUUAAGUUCAAUCCCCAUUGAACUCUAUAUUCUCUCUCCUCUUUCUCUCUCUCUCACAUACACAUAUAUAUAUAUUAAUGGGAAGUUUAAUAUCAUUAAGUUCAAUCCCCAUUGAACUCUAUAUUCUCUCUCCUCUUUCUCUCUCUCUCACAUACACAUAUAUAUAUANNNNNNNNNNNNAUAUAUAUAUAUAUAUAUAUAUAUAUAUCAUUUUUUAUUUUAAUUUUUUAAUUAGUGUUAAUUUUAAUUGUAGUUUUUAAUUUUUAAUUUCAUGUUAAUUAAUUUUUUAAAAAUAAUAAUAAAUAAAAAAAAUGAUAAAUGAUGUGACAAUCCAUUAAAUUGUAUAGAGUUUAAUGAAGUGUAGAGUUUAAUGGGUAAAGUUGUAUAGUGAGUGGAAUGUAUAUGUGUCAAUCCAUUGAACUCAUAUGAGUUCAAUGCAUUGGAGAUGGUCUAUGCAGAAUGCAUACGAACAUUAUUGUAAUAUAAAAAAUUCGAUAAAAAUAGCUUAAAUGAAAACGCUCUUGCACAUGAUCCACAAGGAAAAUAGUAUACUGGGGAAAAAUCGCAUGAGAACACCGGGUGAAUAUUUUACAGAUUUAUAUGUUUUGGGUCUCAUAAAGUAACAACCUAUGUUUUGCAUAAUUUCAUACAUUGAAGAAGGUUUUUUAAUAUAAUAAAAAACAUUAAUUACUUAUUUAUACAAUAACAUGUAAUCAGUUAUGAGUACAUUGUGAUGCAAUUUAUAAAACAAAUUGGAUAUGUCAUCUGCUACUUACUACUUAAAUGCAUUUUAGCUACUAAAACAAAAAAUAUAUAAAUAAAUAAAUAAAUUGUAAACGGUAUGAUCCAAUUUGGCUAAUCUUUCUCAGAUAAUGGCACUUACACCCUAAUGGUUUUGUUGGUGACAACCUGUGUAUUACUUUUUUUUUAUUAGUUAGAUUACAACUAAUCUUCUGUUUUUUAUUUAUAUUUGUUCGAAUAAAACUAAGCAGCAGCCAGUGGCGGAUCCAGACCAGAAGUGAAUUGGGGUCCAUUUUAUACUUUCCAGACGAUUCAUAACAUCUUUAUUUGUAGCCUCAUAAAUUUAUUCUCCUUUAACCAUGCAAAUUAUACAAUCAUUCCUGAACUCAUCCGAAAUUUGAUUACACGGUUUAACCAUCUUUUUUUCAUUUCAAAACUAACAAAACUAAUAUUUUUUUUUGUUGUUUUUCCAUUAUUUAAUAUCUAACACAUUGAGUUUUCCAUCAACAACUCAUAAAACUAAAUAAAAGUAACUUAAUCAAUUUCAGAAAUUAGAAAUUAACUGGAUGCAUACCAAUAUACAGAGGGUUAUUAACUUGAAAUAAAUUUAUAUAUACAUAUAAAUACGGUGGGAAUUACAGCCAAGUGGGGUGCAUGGACCCCACUCCAUACACACUACAUCCGCCACUGGCAGCAGCUAACAUGUCAAAAAAAAAAAUUAAAAACAUUUGUCAAGUUAUACUCAUACGUGGUUUCUUGUUUACAAGUUGCAUAAACCGGUUGUAGUUGCAUUAUAUAUGAACAUAAACACUAGUGAGUAAAUUAAAAUUAAAUAAAAAGUUGUUGCAUGGACAAGUAAUUUGGUUAAACGUUUACAAUUGAUUAUCUUUUUAUAAUAUUUUUUUUAUAAAUGAAAAUGUUAGUUCAUUACCCAUUUAUAUAACUAAUAUACGUAUCUGUUGUAAAUAAUAGGUUGGAGAAAGAGGAAUUCAGAUGUCAGGCGGACAAAAGCAAAGAAUUGCUAUUGCCCGUGCAAUAAUCAAGUCGCCUCGUAUUCUUCUUUUGGACGAGGCGACAAGCGCACUAGACUCUGAAUCAGAACGAGUCGUUCAGGACGCACUUGAUCGUGCGUCUGUUGGUCGAACGACAAUCAUCAUAGCUCAUCGCCUUUCUACAAUUAGAAACGCCAACAUGAUAGUGGUGGUCCAGGAUGGCCAGGUGGUCGAGUCUGGCCACCAUGACCACCUCAUUCAACUUGAAAAUGGUCUCUACACAUCCCUCAUUCGCCUCCAAGAAACCAAACAAAAUGAUGAACCCAUUACUCAUUCCCCACUUGGACCUUCAUCGGUCUCCUCCACAUAUGAUGUCCACAACACGAGCAGUCGUCGAAGGUCAAUUAAUGUGAGUCGGUCAAAUUCGGUCAACCAUGGUGCAGAAGACAAAUUUGCUUCACAGACAAACCAAGUAUUUCCGGUACCUUCUUUCAAGAGACUUUUAGCAAUGAAUAUUCCUGAAUUUAGGCAAGCAUUGUAUGGGAGCUUGGGUGCUAUUUUAUUUGGUGCAGUUCAACCAGUUUAUUCUUUUGGAAUGGGGUCUAUGAUAUCAGUGUAUUUCUUGGUUGAUCAUGAUGAGAUCAAACACAAAACGACGAUGUAUUCACUAUGGUUUGCUGGUCUAGCAAUUUUCACGAUGGUAAUAAACAUCAUUCAGCAUUAUAAUUUUGCAGCCAUGGGUGAGCACUUGACCAAGAGGGUCCGCGAAAAGAUGUUGUCAAAGAUACUCUCUUUUGAAAUCGGGUGGUUCGAUCAGGAUGAAAAUUCAACCGGAGCCCUCUGUUCCAGGCUAGCUAAAGAUGCCAAUGUGGUAUGAAAUUUAUGAUUUGUUUCACGUUACUAACAGAACCUUACAUAUUAACAAUAAUUUUAUAAAAUUAUUUGUUACUUGAUUAUAGGUUUAUCAAUAUUUAUAAAUUAAAAGUAUGUCAACAAUGAUUUUGCAGGUGCGAUCUUUGGUGGGUGAUCGAUGUUCACUUCUAAUUCAAACAUUCUCUGCCGUGACGGUUGCUUUCAUAUUAGGGUUGGUGAUUGCAUGGAGAUUGGCAUUAGUUAUGAUUGCUGUUCAGCCACUUGUAAUUAUAGGCUUCUAUAGCAAACGUGUUUUGUUAAAAACUAUGUCACAAAAAGCCAUGAAAGCACAAGAAGAAAGUAGUAAGCUAGCAGUGGAAGCCGUCUCAAAUUUGCGCACAGUCACUGCCUUUUCUUCUCAACCACGAAUCCUGAAGAUGCUCCAAGAAACCCAAAAAGCACCAAUGCGUGAAAGCAUCCGACAAGCAUGGUAUGCUGGAUUCGGGCUCGCGCUUACUCAAAGUCUUAUGCCUUGUACUUGGGCUCUGGACUUUUGGUAUGCUGGGAAAUUGAUUAGCGCUGGUCAACUUGGAGCUAAAGCGCUUUUCCAGACGUAUUUGAUAUUAGUAAGCACAGGCAGGACAAUUGCGGAUGCAGGGACCAUGACAAAUGAUUUAGCCAAAGGGUCUGAUGCGGUGCAGUCUGUGUUUGCGGUUUUGGACCGUCACACCUUAAUAGAGCCCGAUGAUGCUGCUGGUAAAAAGUCGGAUAUCAUUACAGGCCACAUAGAGAUACGUGAUGUGGACUUCGCUUACCCUGCUCGGCCUAAUGUCAUGGUAUUUAAAGGAUUCUCGAUCGAUAUUGAAGCUGGGAAAUCAACUGCAUUGGUGGGACAAAGUGGGUCUGGGAAAUCGACCAUUAUCGGGCUUAUUGAGCGUUUUUACGACCCAAUGAAAGGAGUUGUGAAGAUCGAUGGAAGAGAUAUAAGGGCAUACCAUUUAAGAACUUUGAGGAAAUAUAUCGCACUUGUGAGCCAAGAGCCAGCGUUAUUCGCUGGUACUAUACGUGAAAACAUCAUAUACGGGGCAUCCGAGACGGUUAGUGAAUCGGAGGUCAUUGAGGCUGCUAAAGCAGCCAAUGCUCAUGAUUUCAUAGCAGUUUUGAAAGACGGAUAUGACACACAGUGUGGUGACCGAGGGAUACAACUCUCUGGAGGACAAAAACAACGUGUUGCUAUAGCCCGUGCCAUAUUAAAAAAUCCAUCAGUGUUGUUACUAGAUGAAGCCACGAGUGCAUUAGAUAGUCAAUCAGAGAAAGUAGUACAAGAUGCAUUAGAGCGAAUGAUGGUCGGGAGGACUAGUGUGGUGGUGGCCCACCGCUUGAGUACCAUACAAAGUUGCA